UACGAGAGGCGCAAACGUUAUUCGGAAUUACUGGGCUUAAAGAGUUCGUAGGCGGCGCGGAAAGUAGGGUGUGAAAGCCCUCGGCUUAACCGAGGAAUUGCGCCCUAAACUGCCGUGCUUGAGGAACCUAGAGGUGAGCAGAACAGAUGGUGGAGCGGUGAAAUGCGUUGAUAUCAUCUGGAAUACCGGAGGCGAAGGCGGCUCACUGGGGGUUUUCUGACGCUGAGGAACGAAAGCCAGGGGAGCGAACGGG
rnacentral:rRNA from 1 species